rnacentral:tRNA from 1 species
GCACUCUUGGCUUAAUUGGAUAGAGCUUCCGGCUACGGACCGGACGGUUAGGGGUUCGAAUCCCUUAGAGUGCGCCA